rnacentral:rRNA from 1 species
UCAGUUGUGAAAGUUUGCGGCUCAACCGUAAAAUUGCAGUUGAUACUGGAUGUCUUGAGUGCAGUUGGGGCAGGCGGAAUUCGUGGUGUAGCGGUGAAAUGCUUAGAUAUCACGAAGAACUCCGAUUGCGAAGGCAGCCUGCUAAGCUGCAACUGACAUUGAGGCUCGAAAGUGUGGGUAUCAAACAGGAUUAGAUACCCUGGUAGUCCACACGGUAAACGAUGAAUACUCGCUGUUUGCGAUAUACGGCAAGCGGCCAAGCGAAAGCGUUAAGUAUUCCACCUGGGGAGUACGCCGGCAACGGUGAAACUCAAAGGAAUUGACGGGGGCCCGCACAAGCGGAGGAACAUGUGGUUUAAUUCGAUGAUACGCGAGGAACCUUACCCGGGCUUAAAUUGCACUCGAAUGAUCCGGAAACGGUUCAGCUAGCAAUAGCGAGUGUGAAGGUGCUGCAUG